CAGAAUUGUUGAGAGUGACUUUUGUUAAUAAAAUGUAGGCCAUUCAACACAAACUGCAUGCAUUAAGAGUGGACUUUAAUAAAUUGGUGCUACAAACAGACACAUCUUCAACCAUUAAAUUCUUGGCAGUCUUUGUACUCGGAGUAUAAACUACUGAUAUGACCAUCUGGGGAUAAUCCACUUGUUCAGGUGUUGCUGAGGAGACAAGUGAACCUUGCCAACUUUUGUUGCACCUAGACAUGCGGCAGGUUAAAUAUUAAUAUCCAUUUGAAAGCCCAAUUGAGCCAGUCAGAGAAUUGGAAACUUUUGGGAGAAUAAAUA
ensembl:lncRNA